rnacentral:rRNA from 1 species
UCCAGCGACGCCGCGUGUGUGAAGAAGGCCUGCGGGUUGUAAAGCACUUUUAGUGGGAUGAAAAGUACAUCGACUAAUACCGGUGUAUCUGACCUAACCCAAAGAAAAAGCACGGCUAACUCUGUGCCAGCAGCCGCGGUAAUACAGAGGGUGCGAGCGUUAAUCGGAAUUACUGGGCGUAAAGCGUGCGUUAGACGGUUAUUUAAGUCGGGUGUGAAAGCCCCGGGCUCAACCUGGGAAUUGCAUUCGAGACUGAAUAGCUAGGGUACGGUAGAGGGAAGCGGAAUUUCCGGUGUAGCGGUGAAAUGCGUAGAUAUCGGAAGGAACAUCAGUGGCGAAAGCGGCUUCCUGGACCAGUACCGACGUUCAGGCACGAAAGCGUGGGGAGCAAACAGGAUUAGAUACCCUGGUAGUCCACGCCAUAAACGAUGAGGACUAGACGUUGGAGGGGUAAGCCUUUCAGUGUCGUAGCUAACGCGCUAAGUCCUCCGCCUGGGGAGUACGGCCGCAAGGUUG